GGGGAUUUAGCUCAGCAGCAUAAGUGCCUGCCUCACAAGCAGGCGGUCAUGAGUUCAAUCCCCG
rfam:Cavia porcellus supercont2_10 genomic scaffold, whole genome shotgun sequence.